GGGUUGUAAACUUCUUUUAAGAGGGAAGAGCAGAAGACGGUACCUCUAGAAUAAGCCACGGCUAACUACGUGCCAGCAGCCGCGGUAAUACGUAGGUGGCAAGCGUUGUCCGGAUUUACUGGGUGUAAAGGGCGUGCAGCCGGGUCUGCAAGUCAGAUGUGAAAUCCAUGGGCUCAACCCAUGAACUGCAUUUGAAACUGUAGAUCUUGAGUGUCGGAGGGGCAAUCGGAAUUCCUAGUGUAGCGGUGAAAUGCGUAGAUAUUAGGAGGAACACCAGUGGCGAAGGCGGAUUGCUGGACGAUAACUGACGGUGAGGCGCGAAAGUGUGGGGAGCAAACAGGAUUAGAUACCCUGGUAGUCCACACUGUAAA
rnacentral:rRNA from 1 species